rnacentral:lncRNA from 1 species
AAUUAUUGAUCAUAGUAAAACACUGGAAACAAGAUAGAUCCAAAUAUACUACAAUAUGGAGGGUGAAGGGGAUUGGUUAAAUAAAUUAUGGUCCACAUGGUGGACACAGAAGUACCAGGCAGCCAUUAAAAUGACGUUGUAGUCUUCUAUUUUUAUGUCAUGGGAAAUUGUGUAAGUUACAUUGUGAGGUUUAGAAAAAGGUGGUAGUCAGUUCUUCUGGUGACAUGUUGUGGUGGAUGCAAAAACAAUAUGGUUUCAAUUUUUCAUAAAAAAGUGUAAAAAUACCCAGGCUCAUUAUGUCAUGAAACAAAUAAUAAAAUGGAGAAGGACUUGCACGAACUAAGGACAGAUGUAUAGGAUGAACAAAGCAUUAUGCCUAAUACCAUUUGAGCACCAGAAGUCCACAAAAAACAAAAGCUUCUGUUAAACUCAUCUCCUUAAUAAUGCAUUUUUUGGUUACCGCUUUCUUCUUCUCCUUAGCCUCUUCUCCUCCUUACCACUUACAAAUUCAGUUUAAAACUGAGUAAAAUCUAAAUUCAAGCCUUUGAAAUAGGGAACUUGUACAUUAUUGAAUAAAACAUUUAAAAGUCAUGGUAAAUGUUAAAAAAGAUCUGAGAUUUUGUGACUGACAUGAAUCUUAACAUCAAAUUGAACGCUUAAGAAUAUAGGAUUUCCUCUCUGGAUCCAUUGAUUGAUUUUUUUGUAUGUAAAAGAUUUUUAAGCCUAUGGCUUUGAUUAUGUCACUUGUGACAUAAUAUUUUUAAAAUGUAUAUGAGCAUUUGUGGCUUAGGAUAUAGUAUGUGUUCCAUUGAAAUAAAAUGGUAUUUCUUUAAAAAUAGUUAUAAUUAAGUCAUUUUGCUAAACUCUGUGGGCCUUCCCUCUCCUGAUUUUGAAAUUUGGCAUGUUGCUUGGUGACGAUUUGUAAAGUGCUUUUCAUUUGGGCAGCCGCUACUCUCUCCAGCUACACUUAAAGCCACAGAGAAUUUUUCUACCUUCAGCACCCAUUUUGGGAGGGUCCUGGUAAGUGCUAAGUAAAUGUCAGCUAGUUGACUUCCUGUCUGACCUGCUUUGGGCUGUUUCCUGCUCAUCAGCAUCUCCACUAGGUGGCGGGCUGGGCUAGAGAAGAAAGAAGGAAAGCAAAUUUUUCUUUUUCUGGCUAACCUUGUCCUCCCUCUGGGCCGCUCCAGCGCCUAGCCUGGUGACUGCACAGAGCUCCUGGGACACGUGUACAGUUCCGGGCAACACAGGGAAAGUUCUGUGUUCCAAAGUGAUUCAUGACAUGUGUUUAUUUAUACAUUAUCUUCUUUUAGCCUUCUGUGUAUAGAAGGAAAGGGGGAAGUAUGCUAAUUUACCCAGGCCUUAAAAUGUGUUGACUAUAAGGCAAUUGAGUAAUCAUGGCAUUUCUAAUACUCUCAAGUCCUGUGUCCUUGAGAACCAGAAUAUUUUUGUGUGGUGGAUGGGAGGUUGAGAAACAAUGACCAAGCCAGGAGCAAUGAACACUCCUACCACCCGGAUCUGAAAAUACCAUUUCCGCUGGUAAGAAACCAGAGCUUGGAGAAAUGGCUCAUUCCAAGUCUGGGGCAGAAAAUGCACAAGAUGAGUGUGGAAUAGCUUAUCUUACCAGAGAGCAAAGAGGCCAGCAAACACUGUCGGGGUGAUGUCAAAGGGACUCAGGAGCCCAGCUCUCACAGACAAGGAUGGGACAAUUUGAGCAUUAAUAAGGAUUAAAAAAGGAAAUGCAAGGAAGUGAGUCACACACACCAUGGUAUCCAUUUAUGCCAGGAAGGGCGGGCUGUGAUGAAGAUGAAGAACAUGGUUGGGGGGGGGAUUUUGGGUGUCUGGCAAAUUUCUGUUUCUUUCUCUAGGUGAUGGUUUUAACGGUGUUCACUUUAUAUUAGUUUACUAAGCUAUAUUCUAUUUGUUUUGUAUGGUUUUCUGUAUCUGUGUUUUAUUUUAAAAUAAAA